GACGAACGCUGGCGGCGUGCUUAACACAUGCAAGUCGAACGGAAAGGCCCUGCUUUUGUUGUGUGCUCGAGUGGCGAACGGGUGAGUAACACGUGAGUAACCUGCCCUUGACUUUGGGAUAACUUCAGGAAACUGGGGCUAAUACCUGAUAUGAGCGCCUGCUGCAUGGUGGGGGUUGGAAAGUUUCGGCGGUUGGUGAUGGACUCGCGGCUUAGCAGCUUGUUGGUGGGGUAGUGGCUUACCAAGGCUUUGACGGGUAGCCGGCCUGGGAGGGUGAACGGACACACUGGGAAUGAGAUAAGGCGCAGAAUCAUACGGGAGGCAGGAGCGGGGAAUAGUGCACAAUGGGCGGAAGGCUGAUGCAGCAACGCCGCGUGCGGGAUGAUGGCCUUCGGGUUGUAAACCGCUUUCGACUGUGACGAAGCGUUAGUGACGGUAAUGGGUAAAGAAGCACCGGCUAACUACGUG
rnacentral:rRNA from 1 species